rnacentral:lncRNA from 1 species
AGUUAAUGGACCCAUUAUCAAACACCUUAAUAGGAGGUUAUAACUCAGUUAUCUUCAUAACUUUAUCAUUUUAAAGACCUAAUAAUUUUAGAAGAUUGAAAAUUAUUAGUGAUUUAAGGAUUAAAAAGACAUGGACCAAUUUGCUCCCACUGACUUCAUCAAGUCAAGUCCUCCCACUAACUUCUCAAGUCAUUAACAAGGACUAGGAUCAAAUUUGGUCCAUGGGCACCU